rfam:Salmo salar isolate Sally breed double haploid chromosome ssa20, whole genome shotgun sequence.
UACUACUCACUCUGUAAGUCGCUCUGGAUAAGAGUGUCUGCUAAAUUACGUAAA